rnacentral:rRNA from 1 species
GGGAUAACACCUGGAAACAGAUGCUAAUACCGGAUAACAACACUAGACGCAUGUCUAGAGUUUGAAAGAUGGUUCUGCUAUCACUCUUGGAUGGACCUGCGGUGCAUUAGCUAGUUGGUAAGGUAACGGCUUACCAAGGCAAUGAUGCAUAGCCGAGUUGAGAGACUGAUCGGCCACAUUGGGACUGAGACACGGCCCAAACUCCUACGGGAGGCAGCAGUAGGGAAUCUUCCACAAUGGACGAAAGUCUGAUGGAGCAACGCCGCGUGAGUGAAGAAGGGUUUCGGCUCGUAAAGCUCUGUUGGUAGUGAAGAAAGAUAGAGGUAGUAACUGGCCUUUAUUUGACGGUAAUUACUUAGAAAGUCACGGCUAACUACGUGCCAGCAGCCGCGGUAAUACGUAGGUGGCAAGCGUUGUCCGGAUUUAUUGGGCGUAAAGCGAGUGCAGGCGGUUCAAUAAGUCUGAUGUGAAAGCCUUCGGCUCAACCGGAGAAUUGCAUCAGAAACUGUUGAACUUGAGUGCAGAAGAGGAGAGUGGAACUCCAUGUGUAGCGGUGGAAUGCGUAGAUACAUGGAAGAACACCAGUGGCGAAGGCGGCUCUCUGGUCUGCAACUGACGCUGAGGCUCGAAAGCAUGGGUAGCGAACAGGAUUAGAUACCCUGGUAGUCCAUGCCGUAAAC